rnacentral:rRNA from 1 species
UGAACGCUGGCGGCGUGCCUAAUACAUGCACGUCGAGCGAACAGACGAGGAGCUUGCUCCUCUGACGUUAGCGGCGGACGGGUGAGUAACACGUGGAUAACCUACCUAUAAGACUGGGAUAACUUCGGGAAACCGGAGCUAAUACCGGAUAAUAUAUUGAACCGCAUGGUUCAAUAGUGAAAGACGGUUUUGCUGUCACUUAUAGAUGGAUCCGCGCUGCAUUAGCUAGUUGGUAAGGUAACGGCUUACCAAGGCAACGAUGCGUAGCCGACCUGAGAGGGUGAUCGGCCACACUGGAACUGAGACACGGUCCAGACUCCUACGGGAGGCAGCAGUAGGGAAUCUUCCGCAAUGGGCGAAAGCCUGACGGAGCAACGCCGCGUGAGUGAUGAAGGUCUUCGGAUCGUAAAACUCUGUUAUUAGGGAAGAACAAAUGUGUAAGUAACUAUGCACGUCUUGACGGUACCUAAUCAGAAAGCCACGGCUAACUACGUG